rnacentral:lncRNA from 1 species
GGGAAAUAGUAGUUAUUGGCCCCAAAUUGCUCAUUCUCCUCUUAUUGUGUCUGUUACAUCAGGAUGUCCAUUUUCCUCUACUCAGCAGCACUGGAAAAUACGUGAAAACAUUUUGAAAACUAAAUGAAGUUUAUAGAUUUUGGUGGUUUUAAUUAGUACAUCUUUGAGUCCUAGUGAGACGAACCCUUUAAUACACGCUCAAUUAUCUCUUUUUCUACCUCCACAAAUUGCCUGUUCCCAUGCUUUACUCAUUUUUAUUGAGUUUUACCAUGUUUCCUAUUGAUUCAUAACAAUUUGAAUCAAUAAAUAUCAUUUAUCUGCCCUAGAUUACAAACAGAUUUUCUCUGUUUCUUAUUUGUAUUUUUAUUUCAUUUUUUUUGAACUUCUUCCUAUAGUGAUAGGUAGAAGGCCUUUUGCAUCGUGAAACCAUGCACACCAAUAUUUAGCUAUAUUUGCUCCUAGUAGUUUCAUUUUAUCCAUAAGAUUAUAUAGCUGUGUACUAUUUAUGUAAUUAAAAAUAAAAUUAAUUAUAUCCUGUCCUACCUCUCAAAAUCCUAAUCAGAUGUUAAUUGAUAGUAAUUUAUUUUAUAGACUACCUACACGGGAAGAAUAGAUAUUACUAUACUAUUAGGUGAUUCUGGUCAGAGAUGUGUCAUUUAGCUCCUUUUAUUCAUGGGUUUUCUUUCUUUCAUUAAGUACAAAUGUAUCUUUUUUGUAUAAAAGUCAUUAUACAUCCUUCAUAUUCUUAUUUAUUCUUACCUAUUUUAUAUUGCUAUUGAUAGUGUUUAGGGGCUCUUUUCCACAUAUUUUCUAACAGGUGGCUUAUUAUAGGAAAUCUAUUCAAAUAUAAUUAGAGCUCUUUUACAUUUUACUUAUAUUUGGUUGAAUCUAUUUGUCAAUCAUCUCCUGAUCAUCUCUCAUAAUUUGAUAUCCCCAUGACUCAGUUUCUCCUAACAUUUAAAGGUGAAUAAAGUGCCCACCUAACAGGUGUGUUGUGAUGACUGAGUAGCUAUAAAUUUCUUAUCCCCGUGCCCAGCACAAAACCAGCACCAUCGAAGUAUUAGUUGUGGCGGGGGUGUUGAUGUUGCUACAAUUAGAUUUCCUGGGGGGUUUCAGUACCCAGUGUUUCUCAGUCUUCUUUUUUAGGAUCCAAAUGUGCCAAUGCACAUUAUCCUUUUGUCCAUUCUUUGCUCCAGCUCAUUUUGUUCCAACCAAAACUCGUUAGGACGGUCUGGCUGAGACUCCCUUCACAGCUCCCAGGUAGUUUUCUCCUUCGCAGGCAUGAAGCUGCCAGUUUGUGGCUCCCUCUCGCACCUCUUUCAUGUACCACAUCUUGGAUAAAUUCCUCAGCAUCUCGAAGCACGGGACACACUCCUCCACGGUUACCAGGCUUCAUGUGUCCUUCUCCCCUGUUCUAUUAUUUUGGUCACUUCAGUUGGCAUUCAUAAGACUAAGUGUGUUAAAUCACAGGCUCAGAUUCUCAUCCUAACUAGAAGUGACUUCUCUUUACAUCUUAACUCCUGUUUUGACCUGUUCAAUGACACCGUCCCCCUAAUUAUCUGUAAUCGCUUCUCCUACUCUUGUGCAUUUGUCAAUGGCGCCUCUCUUUCCCCCCUUUCUGCCUUUAUGUAUAGUAAGUAAGGGUGCUGUCACCGUUCACCAGAGCAAAGAGAACUUUUAUUAAAGAAAAAAAAAAAAAAAAAAGCAGAGGAAUUGCAAUUCAGGGCAAAGAAUCUGGUGAACUAUAGGCAAAAGCCUAGAGAACAGAGAACAUUCCCUAGAGGAAAAUGAGAGGUCUAAGUGGCGGCAGCUUCUCAUGGGCUGCAGACGAGGGCAGAUGCUGGCUGAGAGAGGAAAUCUUCCUUCUCCUAGCUGGACCCUGCAAGCUGCAAAGAGCAGCCUGUGCAGGGGGUGCCCUCCCUUCCUGGCUUCCCGAGACUCUAAUUUUGAAUUAGGUUCACUUAACUCAUUUUCCCAGUCUUUAAAAUUUCCCAGACCUUUACUAUUAAGAAAGAAACAAAGUUAUAGGCAAACACUGUGAGAAGCAGAGUCAAGGUAAAGGUCCCAAUUAACACCCAAGUAGAAAUCUCUUACGUGUCUAGUUCUGUGCCAAGAGAAAUUAAUCAGGGGUUCACGCUGGAGAUUAGAAACAUCAGUCUGAAACCAAACUCUGUCAUCUUCUCCAGUUAUAAUAACUCCUUGUCUCAAUCUGUAAAUUGUGCUUUGCUAAAAUUAAAUUUUAGUAGCUACAAGCAAUAAGUAUUGAAUUCAUAUCUAUGAAAGCAAAAGAGAGCAAUUUAUUAUCAAUAAAAUGUAUUUCCCUCUUAAUCCCCCACUGGCAUUGCUAAUGAAUUAUGUUGGACUAAAUUAAAAAAAAAAAAAUUCCUUUCAAAAUAUCACCUCGAGAGUAAAUGGAGCACUUGCCACAUGAAAGAACUCCACGGAAGAAUCAUUUGCGAGCCUCAAAUGAAGUCACUGGGAAGGAAAUGCCACACAUGAUCCAGUUCCUCAAGUUUCCCAAUCGGGGCAAGUCUGUGCAGGGAUCAAUUCAAAAGUCAGGAGUUCCCGUCGUGGCACAGUGGAAACGAAUCCGAGUAGGAACCAUGAGGUUGCAGGUUCGACCCCUGGUCUUGCUCCGUGGGUUAAGGAUCCGGUGUUGCCGUGAGCUGUGGUGUAGGUCACAGACGCGGCUGUUGGAUCCCGAGUUGCUGUGACCCUGGCGUAGGCCGGUGGCUACAGCUCCAAUUAGACCCCCUAGCCUGGGAACC